rnacentral:ncRNA from 2 species
AAUAAUCUUCAGGGCGAGGUGCAAUUCCUCACCGGCGGUUAUAGCCCGCGAGCCAUAUAUCGUUUAUGUGGUUGAUUUGGUGAAAAUCCAAAGCCGACAGUUAAAGUCUGGAUGGAAGAAGAUAUUG